rnacentral:rRNA from 1 species
CCUACGGGGGGCAGCAGUGGGGAAUAUUGGGCAAUGGGCGCAAGCCUGACCCAGCAACGCCGCGUGAAGGAAGAAGGCUUUCGGGUUGUAAACUUCUUUUGUCAGGGACGAAGCAAGUGACGGUACCUGACGAAUAAGCCACGGCUAACUACGUGCCAGCAGCCGCGGUAAUACGUAUGGUGCAAGCGUUAUCCGGAUUUACUGGGUGUAAAGGGAGCGCAGGCGGCACGGCAAGCCUGAUGUGAAAGCCCGCGGCCCAACCGCGGGACUGCUCUUGGAACUGCGUGGCUGGAGUGCAGGAGGGG